rnacentral:lncRNA from 1 species
CUGAGCCCUAGUGUUCCUUUAACCAAUGUUAAAGCACGCAUCAAAAACACAUUUUAACACAGUUCUUGCCCAGUCAUAACUGUUUGGGAUUUCAAGAAAAGGAAGACCCCCCCCCCCCCAGCAGUGUUAGGAAGCUCUAACACAUGAUCCGUUCAUGUGCUAUGUAAACUGGAGG